rnacentral:rRNA from 1 species
AGAGUUUGAUCCUGGCUCAGGAUGAACGCUGGCGGCGUGCUUAACACAUGCAAGUCGAGCGAGAAGCUCAUGAAAGAUUCUUCGGAAGAUGGAAUGAGUGGAAAGCGGCGGACGGGUGAGUAACGCGUAGGCAACCUGCCCCGUACAAAGGGAUAGCUACUGGAAACGGUAAUUAAUACCUCAUAAUACAGAGACACCGCAUGGUGAUUCUGUCAAAGAUUUAUCGGUAUGGGAUGGGCCUGCGUCUGAUUAGCUAGUUGGUGGGGUAACGGCCUACCAAGGCAGCGAUCAGUAGCCGACCUGAGAGGGUAAACGGCCACAUUGGAACUGAGACACGGUCCAAACUCCUACGGGAGGCAGCAGUGGGGAAUAUUGCACAAUGGGGGAAACCCUGAUGCAGCAACGCCGCGUGAGCGAAGAAGGCCUUUGGGUCGUAAAGCUCUGUCCUGAAGGAAGAAGGAAGUGACGGUACUUCAGGAGGAAGCCCCGGCUAACUACGUGCCAGCAGCCGCGGUAAUACGUAGGGGGCGAGCGUUAUCCGGAAUCAUUGGGCGUAAAGGGUACGUAGGCGGUUUUUUAAGCAUGGGGUGAAAGGCAAUAGCUCAACUAUUGUAAGCCUCGUGAACUGGAAGACUUGAGUGCAGGAGAGGAAAGCGGAAUUCCUAGUGUAGCGGUGAAAUGCGUAGAUAUUAGGAGGAACACCAGUGGCGAAGGCGGCUUUCUGGACUGUAACUGACGCUGAGGUACGAAAGCGUGGGGAGCAAACAGGAUUAGAUACCCUGGUAGUCCACGCCGUAAACGAUGAGCACUAGGUGUCGGGGGAGCGAUCCUUCGGUGCCGCAGUUAACGCAAUAAGUGCUCCGCCUGGGGAGUACGCACGCAAGUGUGAAACUCAAAGGAAUUGACGGGGACCCGCACAAGCAGCGGAGCAUGUGGUUUAAUUCGAAGCAACGCGAAGAACCUUACCAGGGCUUGACAUCCCUCUGACCGGACGGUAAAACGUCCCUCUCUUCGGAGCAGAGGAGACAGGUGGUGCAUGGUUGUCGUCAGCUCGUGUCGUGAGAUGUUGGGUUAAGUCCCGCAACGAGCGCAACCCUUGUCAUUAGUUGCCAGCACGUUAAGGUGGGCACUCUAAUGAGACUGCCGGGGAUAACUCGGAGGAAGGUGGGGAUGACGUCAAAUCAUCAUGCCCCUUAUGUUCUGGGCUACACACGUGCUACAAUGGCCGGUACAAAGAGAAGCGAGACCGCGAGGUGGAGCAAAUCUGAUAAAACCGGUCCCAGUUCGGAUUGUAGGCUGCAACUCGCCUACAUGAAGUUGGAGUUGCUAGUAAUCGCAGAUCAGAAUGCUGCGGUGAAUGCGUUCCCGGGUCUUGUACACACCGCCCGUCACACCAUGGAAGUUGGGGGCGCCCGAAGUUGGUUAAGAGAUAUACUACCUAAGGUGAAACCAAUGACUGGGGUGAAGUCGUAACAAGGUAACC